UACGUAGGGGGGCGAGCGUUGUCCGGAUUUAUUGGGCGUAAAGAGCGUGUAGGCGGCCAGGUAGGUCUGCUGUGAAAACUCGAGGCUCAACCUCGAGACGUCGGCGGAAACCAUCUGGCUAGAGUCCGGAAGAGGAGAGUGGAAUUCCUGGUGUAGCGGUGAAUGCGCAGAUAUCAGGAAGAACACCCGUGGCGAAGGCGGCUCUCUGGGACGGUACUGACGCUGAGACGCGAAAGCGUGGGGAGCGAA
rnacentral:rRNA from 1 species